AAAAACAUAGGUCACCGUAAGCUCUUGUACUAAAUGAUAGCAUUGGCAAAUGAAUCCAAGGUCAUGGGGGAUAAAGGGAAAAAAACCUGGGAAAUUGUGUUAGAAUCUUGGGAAGCAAAAGGAUAUUAAACUGUAUUGAAAUGAAUUCAUGAAAAUAAGAGGACUUUUAAACAAUAGGAUAAGAUUAAAAGUAGGGAAGAAAACUGCUAUACAGUCUGUAGCCUUGAUUUGAUAUUCCACGCUAUUGUUCAAAGCUACUGUGAGAGAGCAGAAAUUGUUCUUGUGAUUUUCAUCAUUGCAUUGGGUUUUUUUCUUUGCUCCUUUCCUUCAUAGUAAAGAUUUGUAGGCAGUAUGUUCACAGGUGUAUUGUUAAAUAAAAACUUAUGUACAGUAGUAUGUUUUCUGUUAUUGGAUUUCCAAAAUCUGAACUAGAUCUGAGCAAAUCCCUCAUGAAUAGUGUUGAGAAAUGUAUUUGAUAACUUCAAAAGGGUUACCUCAGCCAACAAGAAGCUGUGCGCAUAUCCUAAUUACAGGAAUAAUCUGAUGCACUAAAAGCAUUGUUUUAUUUUGCAGAAUCUUCCAAUGCAACGUUAUUGACCAACGCAGAAAAAAUUGCUACAAUUACAACUACACAUACUCCUCAACAAAUGCCACAGGAGAACAGAAACAAUGCAAAGACAAAACAGGAAUCCCAGUUUGAUUUCAAAGCACCAACAGCCUCCCAGCCAGAACAAGAUUUUUACACUGUGGAACUUGAAAGAGGAGCUAAAGGAUUUGGCUUCAGUCUGCGAGGUGGCCGAGAAUAUAACAUGGAUCUCUAUGUCUUGCGGUUAGCAGAAGAUGGGCCUGCUGAGAGAUGUGGAAAA